rnacentral:rRNA from 1 species
GUGCCAGCAGCCGCGGUAAUACGGCCGGUGCAAGCGUUGUUCGGAAUCACUGGGCGUAAAGCGCGUCUCCGCUGGAAAAUAAGUCAGGUGUGAAAGACCCUAGCUCAACUAGGGAAUUGCGCCUGAAACUAUGUUUCUUGAAUCAUGGACAGGUGGGUGGAAUUCCUGGUGUAGCAGUGAAAUGCGUAGAUAUCAGGAGGAACAUCGGAGGCGAAGGCGGCUCACUGGCCAUGUAUUGACGCUGAAGCGCGAAAGCGUGGGUAGCAAACAGGAUUAGAUACCCUGGUAGUCCACGCCGUAAACGAUGAGAACUAGGUGUUGGAGGAGUUGAUCCCUUCAGUGCCGUCGCAAACGCAUUAAGUUCUCCGCCUGGGGAGUACGGUCGCAAGAUUAAAACUCAAAGAAAUUGACGGGGGCCC